rnacentral:rRNA from 1 species
UACGAAGGGGGGCUAGCGUUGCUCGGAAUUACUGGGCGUAAAGGGCGCGUAGGCGGUGCGGUAAGUCACCUGUGAAAAUCUCCUGGCUCAACUGGGAGCUUGCAGGCGAAACUGCCGUGCUGGAGUGUGGGAGAGGUGCGUGGAAUUCCCGGUGUAGCGGUGAAAUGCGUAGAUAGUCGGGAGGAACACCUGUGGCGAAAGCGGCGCAC